AAUAUUGGACAAUGGGCGGAAGCCUGAUCCAGCAACGCCGCGUGAGGGAUGACGGCCUUCGGGUUGUAAACCUCUUUCAGCACCGACGAAGCGAGAGUGACGGUAGGUGCAGAAGAAGGACCGGCCAACUACGUGCCAGCAGCCGCGGUAAUACGUAGGUGGCAAGCGUUAUCCGGAAUUACUGGGCGUAAAGCGCACGCAGGCGGCGCAUCAAGUUCGACGUGAAAGCUCCCGGCUUAACUGGGAGAGGUCGUUGAAGACUGAUGUGCUUGAGGCAAUGAGAGGGGUGUAGAAUUCCCGGUGUAGUGGUGGAAUGCGUAGAUAUCGGGGGGAAUACCAGUGGCGAAAGCGGCACCCUAGCAUUAGCCUGACGCUCAUGUGCGAAAGCGUGGGGAGCGAA
rnacentral:rRNA from 1 species